AAACCUAAAGGCGCAAUGAAAGUAAAGGUCCGCCUCGCGCGGACCGAGGGAGGAUGGGUCCGUCCCCGGACGGGCCCCGCACUCCCGGGGCGUCUCGUCCUCAUCGCGAGGAGAGGCGCACCCAGAGCGUACACGCUGGGACCCGAAAGAUGGUGAACUAUGCCUGGUCAGGACGAAGUCAGGGGAAACCCUGAUGGAGGUCCGUAGCGAUUCUGACGUGCAAAUCGAUCGUCGGAACUGGGUAUAGGGGCGAAAGACUAAUCGAACCUUCUAGUAGCUGGUUCCCUCCGAAGUUUCCCUCAGGAUAGCUGGCGCUCGCCUUUCGCGAGUCUCAUUCGGUAAAGCGAAUGAUUAGAGGCAUUGGGGUCGAAACGGCCUCAACCUAUUCUCAAACUUUAAAUGGGUGAGAUCUCCGGCUUGCUUGAAGCGUGAAGCCGCGAGAUAUCGGAUCAGAGUGCCAAGUGGGCCACUUUUGGUAAGCAGAACUGGCGCUGUGGGAUGA
rnacentral:rRNA from 1 species